rnacentral:lncRNA from 1 species
GAGCAGGAGGAGAACUUCAUCUCGACACAAUCGAAGGCCCGGUUCUCCUUAGAUCGGAUGGGGGGAGAGGCCCUGCAAUGCCCAUAUGUGCCCCCACAGCCCUGUUAGGGACAGGAGGAGAACCUCACUCAAACUUGAGCAAAGUCGAAGGCCCGAUUACACUUAGACCGGAUGGGGGGAGAGGCCCUGCAACGCCCAUAUGUGCCCCCACAGCCCUGUUAGGGAUAGGAGGAGAAUGUCGCCCUAACUUGAGCAAAGUCGAAGGCCCGGUUACACUUAGAUCGGAUGGGGGAGAGGCCCUGCAAUGCCCAUAUGUGCUCCCACAGCCCUGUUAGGGACAGGAGGAGAACCUCGCCCUAACUUGAGCAAAGUCGAAGGCCCGGUUAUACUUAGAUUGGAUGGGGGGAGAGGCCCUGCAAUGCCCAAUGUGCCCCCAUGGCCCUAUUAGGGACAGGAGGAGAACCUCACCCUAACAUGAGCAAGGUCGAAGGCCCGGUUACACUUAGACCGGAUGGGGGGGAGAGGCCCUGCAACGCCCAUAUGUGCCCCCACAGCCCUGUUAGAGAUAAGAGGAGGACUUCAUCCUAACCUGAGCUGAAACCUAUUAUGUCAGAAAUAGGGGAAGAACCUCAUCCUGACACCAAUUAAGAUCUGGUCAUUCA